GAGUUUGAUCCUGGCUCAGGAUGAACGCUGGCGGCGUGCCUAACACUUGCAAGUCGAGCGAGAAUUAAUGGACUAGAGACUUCGGUCAAAGGAAAGUUGAGGAAAGCGGCGGACGGGUGAGUAACGCGUGGGCAACCUGCCCCAUAYUAAGGGAUAGCCACUGGAAACGGUGAUUAAUACCCUAUAAAGCAGCGAGUUCGCAUGAACUUGCUGCCAAAGAUUUAUCGGUAUGGGAUGGGCCCGCGUCUGAUUAGCCAGUUGGUGGGGUAAUGGCCUACCAAGGCGACGAUGGUUAGCUGGUCUGAGAGGAUGAUCAGCCACACUGGAACUGAGACACAGUCCAGACUCCUACGGGAGGCAGCAGUGGGGAAUCUUGCGCAAUGGGCGAAAGCCUGACGCAGCAACGCCGCGUGGGUGAUGAAGGCCUUCGGGUCGUAAAGCCCUGUCGGAAGGAACGAAUUCUCUCAGGGUGAACAAUCCUGGGAGGUGACGGUACCUUCAAAGGAAGCACCGGSUAACUCCGUGCCAGCAGCCGCGGUAAUWCAAGKSYUUWUUWG
rnacentral:rRNA from 1 species